rnacentral:lncRNA from 1 species
AUCAACCAUAGCCUGCCUCCAUCCAGAAUGAGAAAGUGCUUCACCUGUAGUCUUAGGAAUGGAAAUAGAGGACAAAGACGACACAAAUGCAUAAUGGGGUGAUGAUAGACGAUGAUAACUUAAGAAGGUAUAAUGUGGGUUAGUAUUUCGAGUGGAUCGUAUACCUUUUUGAAGUGCAAGCGGUUGGCUAGGAGAAGGCAAGUCCGCAGUAAGAGCAGGGUCCGGCGCUGACAUGAAUCAUCUGGGACUAGGGUUGGACGUGGACGGCGAUGAUAAGUUAGUAGUGGUGGCACUACAACUGGAGAUGUAGAAGUAAUCGUAGAUUCCUCAAAGGUUGGCACAGGUAAAACCUGAGGUAUGGGUAAGACCAUAGAUACAUCAGGAUGAUCAGAAGAUGUAUAGUAAGGUUGAGACUCAAAAAAUGUAACAUCAGCGGACAUAAGGUAUCGAUGAAGAUCAUGUGAAUAACAACGAUACCCUUUUUGAACUCGAGAGUAACCAAGAAAGACACAUUUAAGAGCACGAGGGGCUAAUUUAUCUUUUCCUGGGGCUAAGUUAUGAACAAAGCAUGUGCUCCCAAAUACACGAGAAG